AUUGAACGCUGGCGGCAUGCCUUACACAUGCAAGUCGAACGGCAGCACGGGGAGCAAUCCUGGUGGCGAGUGGCGAACGGGUGAGUAAUAUAUCGGAACGUGCCCAGUCGUGGGGGAUAACGCAGCGAAAGUUGUGCUAAUACCGCAUACGAUCUAUGGAUGAAAGCGGGGGAUCGCAAGACCUCGCGCGAUUGGAGCGGCCGAUAUCAGAUUAGGUUGUUGGUGAGGUAAAAGCUCACCAAGCCUGCGAUCUGUAGCUGGUCUGAGAGGACGACCAGCCACACUGGAACUGAGACACGGUCCAGACUCCUACGGGAGGCAGCAGUGGGGAAUUUUGGACAAUGGACGAAAGUCUGAUCCAGCAAUGCCGCGUGCAGGACGAAGGCCUUCGGUUGUAAACGUAGUCUUUUGUUACUAGAAACGAAAAAGUAACUUUAAAUAAACUAACCUAAGAAGGACGUCAUAGACGGUACUAGUAAGUAAGUAAAGUACAACCGGCUAACUACGUACG
rnacentral:rRNA from 1 species